rnacentral:misc_RNA from 1 species
AAGAAAUGCAAAUAAACACAACCAACAAACAAACUGUCCAGAAAAGUCAACCAGAAUGAGAGAUGGUGACGACAAGUAGAGCUGAAAGGAGGUGAGGCUGUAAUUGCAACUGCAAGGUCAAUUGCAGUACUGCAAGAGGAGGUAAGCGACAUACAAGCAAGGUUGCAAGGGGUGAAAUCAAUGGUGACGAUGAGAUUAGCGAGUAGAGGUUAACCAGUUGUUGCCUUCACUGCCUGGUGGGAUCAUGGUCUCCCUUAAUUUCAUGGCCUGGUCUUGCUUUGUCAGAAAAUUGGAGGCCCUCUAAGGCAGGUAAACGGCGUGAGGGUGAGGAACUGAGAGGCAUCAGAAAGAGUGAGAAUAAAGUUCUUCAAUUAUUUCAUUUAUUUAAAAAACCAAAAUGUUUAUGCACUUCAAUAUCAAAAGUGCACAUACAAAUUCUUCAAUCCAAACAAAUCAUAUUUUUCCUGGUGGGAUCAUGGUCUCCCUUAAUUUCAUGGCCUGGUCUUGCUUUGUCAGAAAAUUGGAGGCCCUCUAAGGCAGGUAAACGGCGUGAGGGUGAGGAACUGAGAGGCAUCAGAAAGAGUGAGAAUAAAGUUCUUCAAUUAUUUCAUUUAUUUAAAAAACCAAAAUGUUUAUGCACUUCAAUAUCAAAAGUGCACAUACAAAUUCUUCAAUCCAAACAAAUCAUAUUUUU